CAAGAAAAUAUUCUCUAACAAUAGCAAUUUUGUUGGUAUUUUUAUCAUUGCAUCAGAUGUGGUUACAGGAUCACAAGUAAGAGGAGUGAGUGAGGAUAUUCUUCAAGAUUGUGUCAAAGAUGCUGAUUGUGUACGUAAACAUUGGCCUUGCCCAUCUGGCACUAUUCCUGUAUGCCUUCAACGUUCGUGUACAUGUGUACACUAA